rnacentral:misc_RNA from 1 species
AACGCACCUUGCGCUCCCUGGUAUUCCGGGGAGCACGCCUGUUCGAGCGUCAUGAAGCUCUCAAACUCAUUAGCUUUUUGUUAAUGAGUUUGGAUUUGGACUCUGCUGUGUAACAAACGGCUGGUCCGAAAAUUAUUAGCGGAUCCUAGUGCAGCUUGGUUCUACUCGACGUGAUAAUUAUCUAUCGUUGAGGACAUCUUCUUUUAUUAGAAGAUGGCCAAACUAAUCAAAGGAUUGCUUCUAGUCGUCUUCAUUGACAAUUUAUCUAUCAUCUGACCUCGAAUCAGGCGGGACUACCCGCUGAACUUAA